GUAGGGGGCAAGCGUUAUCCGGAUUUACUGGGUGUAAAGGGAGCGUAGACGGCUGUGCAAGUCUGAAGUGAAAAGGCAUGGCUCAACCUGUGGGACUGCUUUGGAAACUGUGCAGCUAGAGUGUCGGAAAGGUAAGUGGAAUUUCCAGUGUAGCGGUGAAAUGCGUAGAUAUUGGAAGGAACACCAGUGGCGAAGGCGGCUUACUGGACGAGAACUGACGUUGAGGCUCGAAAGCGUGGGGAGCAAACAGGAUUAGAUACCCUGGUAGUCCACGCCGUAAACGAUGACUGCUAGGUGUCGGGUNGCNAANGCUAUUCGGUGCCGCNGCUANCGCANUANGCNGUCCNCCUGGGGAGU
rnacentral:rRNA from 1 species